rnacentral:tRNA from 1 species
GCUCAGUUGGCAGAGCGUUGCACUGGUAAUGCAAAGGUCAUGAGUUCAAAUCUCGUUAGUGC